UCCCUGGUGGCUCAGAUGGUAAAAGCGCCUGCCUACAGUGCGGGAGACCCUGGGUUCAAUCCCUGGGUUGGGAA
rnacentral:tRNA from 1 species